rnacentral:tRNA from 1 species
AUUACUAUAGUUUAAAUAAAACAAUUCAUUUUCAAUGAAUAGAUGUAAUUCUAGUAGUA